UAAAAACACAGAAAUGACCCACAAAGCCUA
rnacentral:piRNA from 2 species